CAAACCUUUCAGAAACUUUAUUUAUUAUGAUGUGUUUAAUAAACAUGUAACAUACAAUCUUAUAUCCCUUAUACUAAACUGGACUAAAAUCUGGAGAAAAUGUGAGUGGUGCUCGUACCUGCAAAACUUUACACUACAAUAUUAUCUGUAUUAUUUACUGUAGGAAAGUCAAUCCCUUUAAUUGGACUUCCAUACUUCACCACUAGAGGGUCACAUGUCUUUAACAUAACUGAGAUCUACACACCUUUCCUUUAAGACUGUGGCUGCAUCCAAAAUCACAUUCUUCACAUUCUCUAUAUAACCACACUCACCCUCAUUCAUUCAUACAAACACAACUGCUCACAGACGUGACCUGUUUUCUGAAUCCAGCGUAUCAUUAAUAGUUUUGUGGAUUGAACUCUUGGAGCUCUUACUCUCUAACCGAGUCAAGGACGAUCUCAGCAGUCCAGAGGCUUCAGACACUGACAGUGUUUCAUUAUAAACUGAUGAACAUGAACAAACCUCAUCUCUCCAUUAGUCCAACUCUUCUGACUCAUUUCAGAGAAUAAAGUGUGGACAGUGAAACUCAUAUUUGAUCAUCAGGUGAUUCUGUUCCUCUCAGAAUAGAGCAGCUCCAUCAGCAGAUGUUCAGCGUCCUCACAGGAGCUUCAUGUUACUGAAAUCCACUGCUUCUCUUGUUUCUGGAGAUACACUGGGAAAGUUCAGAUAAGACCUUGUUAUUACUAAAAGGAAAAAAAUAAAUAAACCCAUUUCACCACAAGUCUGAUGUUGAAGAAACAGUCGUGUCUGACUCAAAUAAUUACUGGAGAUCAGGUUAUAAAUGGAGAUGAAGCAGUCGCAGGUUUAGUGUUUGUUAACAGCGGGGUUUGUCGCCCACAUUACAGUAAGGAUGUGUUUGUUUCUGCUAGAUGCAGUUGUGUUUUACCACAAUGAAUGUUUAUCUGUUUCAUAUCCUCUUCUUUCUUUUUCUUCUUUUCUUCCUUUUUCUUCUCUUGUCCCUCGUAAUACACACCAAAGUUCAGGAAAACCUGCAUGAUCCCAAAGUGACUGUGGAAAUUACUGAAGCACAUCUGAUAAAAACCUGCUGAGAUACA